ACUUCACUAUGUUUUAUACUUAUUUUCAUUCAUCUUAUUUGCUACUAUGGUACUUUAAAAAAAAAAAAAGAAGAUUUAUUGGGCAGGCCUGGUGGCCCAGCAGUUUAGCACCACUUUUGGCCCAGGGUGUGAUCCUGGAGACCCGGGAUCGAGGAGUCCUACGUUGGGCCCCCUGCAUGGAGCCUGCUUCUCCCUCUGCCUGUGUCUCUGCCUCUCAUUCUCUCUCUGUGUCUGUCAUGAAUAAAUUUUUAAAAAUCUUAAAAAAAAAAAGAUUUAUUUAUUUUAAUGGGGAGGAUGGGAGAGGGGGAGAGAGAAUCUCAAACAGACUCCCCUCUGAGUGUGGAGCCUAAAGCCAGGUUCAAUCUCACAACCCUGAGAUCAUGACCUGAGUUGAAACCAAGAGUUGGUGCCCCAACUACUAGUGUACUUUUUCUUUAAUUUUUAAAAAUUUGUUAAAAGAUUUUAUUUAUUCAUUCAUGAGAAUCAGGCCCUGGGCUGAAGGCAGCGCUAAACCGCUGAACCACCUGGGUUGCCCUACUAGUGUACUUUUAAUCUGAGUAUUCAUGCGUCUUCCAACGCUAGAAAAUCUCAGCUCCUCUUUCUUCAAAUAUUGCUUCUCCAUUCCCUUUUUCUUCACUCCUAUUAGGCAUAGUCGAGGACUUGUGUCAUUCUCUACCAAAAUCCCUACUAUUGUUCACAAGGUUGUAACAACAAUGCUUGUCUACCCUUCCAAAUGGAAAAUUAAUAUAAAAUAUAGUGAAGUGCUUAACUCUUAUUUUCAUAAAGCAAAAUUUUCAUUCAGAAAUGCACUAAAUCACAUUAUUUAAGACAGUGGUGUUUAGAGUAUAAGGAUUAUUACAAAAUCCUAUGUAUUAUACUAUGAAACUAAAAUUAAAAUCACACACUGAAUUUAAUAAGCUAAAAAUCAGAGAGACUCAUGAAAAUACUGAAAUUUACAAGCGACAAUGACAUUACUGUCAAAGUCUAGGAUUUCAAACUAGUUGUGUGAAUUCUCUAAUUUUUGAAUCCUCAAUUCAUUAAAAAAAAAACCCUGUUGAUCCAUGCUUACACAACAGUAGCAUGUAUCUAUUCUAUUGAACAUAUAUAUAUAUUACAAUCCUACAGCAAGGUAACACCCUCCAGCAGCCCUUGCCUGCUAAAGUUUUCUACAUAGUAAUCAUUAUCUCAUAGUUAUUUUUUUGACACAUCAAUUAUCACUACCUGAUAUAGUGCUCACUUGUCUGUCUUCUUCUUCUAAAAGAUUAACUCCAUGAGAGUGGAAGCUUAGUCUUUUCUGGUCAUUACUGUAUUACCUGGAACACAUAUUCCCUUGCACACAAGAGUUCCUUAAUAUUUGUUGAGUGGAUAGUAAGAUCAUAUAUUCCUAUAUGCUCCAGAUUUUGCUUCAAGUUAAAAUUAAGCGAGAGACAUUUUUUAUUAAAAUGUGUAAAACAGCAGUGUGUGGUAAGGAAGGUAGAACGUGGGUGAUGCCACCAGUCAGAGGACGCAAAUAGUGCAGUCGUUCUGGCCAUAGGGGAGGCUAAUUGUGGAAAAUCAGGAGAGUAAGAAAGCUAGCUGAAUGACUGAGAGCUUAUUAACUUGCUCAGAUGGAUGCUUAGAUACCAGCAUGUCAGAAUCAGUAAACCACUGUUCUAAUGGAAACAUGGUAUAUAGCAUGUAUCCUUCGCAGAUCCCAAUUACAUUCACAUGCCCUAACCUGGCAGAAAAGGGCCUUCACAGUCAUCACUCCACUGUUCUGCUUCCUGCUCCCUCCACUGAGAACUAAUCACGCUUUUCUGCAAAUUGGAUCUUCCUGUUUCUCACAGGUUCUGGCCUGCUCCUCUUCUCCUGCAUAGAAUAUUUUACCUUCUCUUCCCCUUAUGUCUCCUAUCUCCUACUUUUCCUUUAGUUCUUGAUUCAGAGAUUUAUUUACCAACAAGGAAGUAUGAUCCUCAAAGACAGGGGCUGGGUGACAUUCACAGAUGUAUCCCAGCCCUUAGCAUGACAACUGACAUAUAGAGGGUAGUCUGUAAACAGUUAUUGAAUGCAUGAGGAGUAAAUGGUUGCAGAAUGGAUGAAUGUAAACAGAUCCAAGAAGGUGGCCGAGUCAGAGGCACCCUAAGCAGUCAUGGUUAUAUAGUUGGUUAAGUCUCAAACCCACCAAAGAAAAGUAUGUGUUUGGCUCAGGAUUCAAGGAACUUUGGAGGAGACUGGGAGGACUUGCUAUCACAGCUGAGUUGUAUUAAGCAAGGUGAGGUCAAAGGCAGGGUAAAACCAUCAAGUAGCCAGAAAUUCCAGCCUUUCCUUUUUUGAUGCUUUUGCCAAUUCUUACCAUAGCAGUUCCCUUUUUAAGCUGAUUCCAGACACCAAAUUCCCUCCUACUUUUUCUCCUUUCUACACUAUGGGGUCUCUAGGCAUCUUAUCUGUGAAAUCUCAGGCACUGAAUGGUGAAGAAGCAGUCAUGAAUAUUUUAACUGCAGGUUCUCAGAAACUCUGGCAUUAUGGCCCACAGGCAGCUACCCACUCUGCUGCUAGUCAGAUGAGUGUGGGCCUCAUCACUCACUGCAUGGAGGAUCAGACAGCCUUCUAGGAGGACGCA
rnacentral:lncRNA from 1 species